CAGAUAUCUAGAGCCUUUUUUAGGAGACCUGGUAAAUUAUCCAACCUUUAUGACAGAUCCUGGCAAUUAUGAUGCAUUUUGUCGUGAGGUUGCUAAAUGGUUAAUUGUCUUAGGCUAAAGAGAAGCAACGAAAAACAACAUCCGCUCCCUUUCAAUUUCCUGGAAAUGUGGUUGGGCAGAUGGUACAUUUUUGUCUAGAAG